rnacentral:rRNA from 1 species
AUUGAACGCUGGCGGCAUGCCUUACACAUGCAAGUCGAACGGCAGCGGACCUUCGGGUGCCGGCGAGUGGCGAACGGGUGAGUAAUAUAUCGGAACGUACCUUUCAGUGGGGGAUAACGUAGCGAAAGUUACGCUAAUACCGCAUAUUCUGUGAGCAGGAAAGCAGGGGAUCGCAAGACCUUGCGCUGAUUGAGCGGCCGAUAUCAGAUUAGCUAGUUGGUGAGGUAAAGGCUCACCAAGGCGACGAUCUGUAGCGGGUCUGAGAGGAUGAUCCGCCACACUGGAACUGAGACACGGUCCAGACUCCUACGGGAGGCAGCAGUGGGGAAUAUUGCGCAAUGGGCGAAAGCCUGACGCAGCAACGCCGCGUGGGUGAAGAAGGUCUUCGGAUCGUAAAGCCCUGUCAGGAGGGACGAAACAAAUGACGGUACCUCCAAAGGAAGCACUGGCUAACUCCGUGCCAGCAGCCGCGGUAAAGU